GGAGGGGUAGCGAAGUUGGCCAAACGCGGCGGACUGUAAAUCCGCUCCCUCAGGGUUCGGGGGUUCGAGUCCCUCCCCUCCACCA
rnacentral:tRNA from 1 species